rnacentral:rRNA from 1 species
GACGAACGCUGGCGGCGUGCUUAACACAUGCAAGUCGAACGGAGAGGCCCUGCUUUUGCGGGGUGCUCGAGUGGCGAACGGGUGAGUAACACGUGAGUAACCUGCCCUUGCCUUUGGGAUAACUUCAGGAAACUGGGGCUAAUACCGGAUAUGAGCUCCUGCUGCAUGGUGUGGGUUGGAAAGUUUCGGCGGUUGGGGAUGGACUCGCGGCUUAUCAGCUUGUUGGUGGGGUAGUGGCUUACCAAGGCUUUGACGGGUAGCCGGCCUGAGAGGGUGACCGGCCACAUUGGGACUGCGAUACGGCCCAGAAUCCUACGGGAGGCAGCAGUGGGGAGUGUUGCCCAAUGGGCGGAAGCCUGAUGCAGCAACGCCGCGUGCGGGAUGACGGCCUUCGGGUUGUAAACCGCUUUCGACUGUGACGAAGCGUGGGUGACGGUAAUGGGUAAAGAAGCACCGGCUAACUACGUG